GGUUAACUGCUAUCAGGGUUCAAUAGCAAAGCAAUAGGAUAUUGCAACAAGUCAACCAUCUGUUAGCCGUUGCAUGAGAGCAGUAAGCAACGCUAUUAAUGACUUUCUUCGAAGAUGGGUUCAAUUCCCCAUGACCAAUGAAGAACGUUGUAUUGCACAAGAAAAAUUUUGAACUGUAUUGCAAUCAUUUAUUGGGACUAUUGAAGCAAUAGACUGCACCCACAUAAAUAUUAUAGCCCCAAAAGAACAUGAAGAAGCAUAUGUCGAUCAUUAAGGUGAUCAAUCAAUGUGCAAGCAAUUUGUUUAUCCUGAAUUAAAAAUUUUUAAUAUAAACGAUAUCCAGGAGCACAUCACGACACAUAUAUUUAGUCAAAUUCUCCAAUACGUUACAUUAUGGAAAGGCGUUUUAGAAACGGUGAACGUAAUACAUGGUUAAUUAUUAUUAAAAGUUUUCUCAGCAAUAGUCACAUGGCAAUAGUUAACGAUUAAAAAAAUAAUAAGAAGAAUGGGCAAGUGGGGAAAGUAUAAACGUCAUUUUAAAAAAGAAUGGGAAAAAGAGAAGAUAUUUCGAGAUUGGCUAACAGAAAAUCCAAAUUGGGAAAUAAAUAAUCAAGGAAACGUGGCGAGAUGUUCUACAUGUGCUGUGUAAAUCUUCAAACUCAUCAUGAUGGUUUGGUGAAACAUGCAAAUUAAAAAAUGUAUAGAUCUAAAAUGCAAAGUGUAAA